UCUCUUCUAGAUAAAGAACCCAGGACAGAGC
rnacentral:piRNA from 1 species